rnacentral:rRNA from 1 species
UACGAAGGGUGCAAACGUUGCUCGGAAUUAUUGGGCGUAAAGCGCACGUAGGCGGCUUGGCAAGUCGGAUGUGAAAUCCCUCGGCUCAACCAAGGAAGUGCAUCCGAAACUGCUGAGCUUGAGUACUUAAGAGGAUCGCGGAAUUCCCGGUGUAGAGGUGAAAUUCGUAGAUAUCGGAAGGAACGCCGGUGGCGAAAGCGGCGCGCUGGACCUCUUCUGACGCUGAGGCGCGAAAGCCAGGGGAGCAAACGGG